UGCUUUCCACAGCUUUGAAGGCCCCUUUGA
rnacentral:piRNA from 1 species